rnacentral:rRNA from 1 species
UACAGAGGUUUCAAGCGUUGUUCGGAUUCAUUGGGCGUAAAGGGUGUGUAGGUGGCGCCGUAAGUCGGGUGUGAAAUUUCGGAGCUUAACUCCGAAACUGCAUUCGAUACUGCGGUGCUUGAGGACUGGAGAGGAGACUGGAAUUCAUGGUGUAGCAGUGAAAUGCGUAGAUAUCGUAAGGAAGACCAGUGGCGAAGGCGGGUCUCUGGACAGUUCCUGACGCUGAGGCACGAAGGUCAGGGGAGCAAACGGG